UUGUGUCCAACACAGGCAUUCCUACACUGAACCGGCCCCGUGCUAUGAAUUCAAAGGUCAUCCAUAAAUACCAUGAAAGGAAUAGAAGAGGAACAGACAAAAGAGAAUCUGUCUGAGAGAAGGGGAAGGAAGAGUCCAGCCGUAGAAAGAGGGAAAACAGACACUCACAAACGAAGGGCUCUGCAGGCUACGCACAGAAUAAAUACCAGAAGACAAAAACUAUGUGGAAAGGACAGUCAAAGACAAGAAGACCAGCUCCCAAGAUGGUCAAAAGGGAUGGAUUUGGGUCUAGGCUUCAUUGUGAGACCUGAAUGAAAUAAAGAUCUUCAGAAUUAUCACUAAGGGUACUGGGGGCUAAAGAAGAAAAAGAUUCCAAUUAUUGUAUGGCUGACAAAGAAAUGCCUGCUUGAGACUGAGAAUAUUCUCAUUUCCCUUAGCUGGCACAAUAAGACAAAAUGGCAAUAAGUAUUGGUCUUCAAUCCCCCCAAUAUACUAUAACAUUCUGCUAUGUGGUAGAAAUAUGAUGACAAUAAAUAGACCCUUAUUUCA